UCAUUACAAACUUAUUAUAUCACUAUCUGUAUAAUCAGAUGCUGAAGUGUUUUGACAUUGCAGACGGAUGUGGAGUGGCAAUAUAUAUAUCCUCCAGGAAUGCAGAAGAGUGUCAACUAUGUAAAAGAGAGAUACAAUAACACGCCCAUGUUCAUCACAGAAAAUGGUAAGUUAUCAUCUUACCAGUUUAAGUUUUGAACGUUGACUUCCCCUCAAAUUCUGAUAUUUGUGUAAUGUAACAAAACAUGCAGGGCUUGGUGAGAUGCACAGUCCAAACUCCCCCAUUGAGAACUUUCUUAAUGACGUUAGAAGAGAGAAGUUUAUGGCCGACUACUUGGAUUCCCUGCAGACAUCAAUGAGGUAAGAACAUGCAAAUAUGCUUAAUACUAGCAAGCAACCAUUAAAAAAAAGCUAUUAUCCUAGUAAACUUUAUUCAACCAUUAAUUGCUUACCUCAUUAAUUAAUUUCCUUUUACAAAAUGCAUCAACAUAGCAUGUUUAGUUUUCCAGUUCAUAUUUCAGACACUCAUGACUCAUUUCUUCUUAAAGCAACUUCCUGUCAAAAAACUACAAAUGCUUUCAGGGAGACAUCUAACACAAAUCAUACUUGUUUUGUCUACUUUCCUGGAUGCCAUCAGAGAAGGUGCAGAUGUGCGGGGUUACUUUGCCUGGUCCUUGCUAGACAACUUUGAAUGGAGAUUUGGAUAUACUGUAAGGUUUGGACUUCACCAUGUUGAUUAUGCUACACAGAGAAGA
rnacentral:lncRNA from 1 species